GACGAACGCUGGCGGCGUGCUUAACACAUGCAAGUCGAACGGAAAGGCCCUGCUUUUGUGGGGUGCUCGAGUGGCGAACGGGUGAGUAACACGUGAGUAACCUGCCCUUGACUUUGGGAUAACUUCAGGAAACUGGGGCUAAUACCGGAUAGGAGCUCCUGCUGCAUGGUGGGGGUUGGAAAGUUUCGGCGGUUGGGGAUGGACUCGCGGCUUAUCAGCUUGUUGGUGGGGUAGUGGCUUACCAAGGCUUUGACGGGUAGCCGGCCUGAGAGGGUGACCGGCCACAUUGGGACUGAGAUACGGCACAGACUCCUACGGGAGGCAGCAGUGGGGAAUAUUGCACAAUGGGCGGAAGCCUGAUGCAGCACCGCCGCGUGCGGGAUGACGGCCUUCGGGUUGUAAACCGCUUUCGCCUGUGACGAAGCGUGAGUGACGGUAAUGGGUAAAGAAGCACCGGCUAAAUACGUG
rnacentral:rRNA from 1 species